rnacentral:rRNA from 1 species
UACAGAGGUCUCGAUCGUUAAUCGGUGUCACUGGGCUUAAAGGGUGCGUAGGCGGGUCCGCAAGUGCCUUGUGAAAUCCCACGGCUCAACCGUGGAACUGCUGGGCAUACUGCGGGUCUUGAGGUCGGUAGAGGUUGUCGGAACUCUAGGUGUAGCGGUGAAAUGCGUAGAUACCUAGAGGAACGCCAAAGGUGAAGACAGGCAACUGGCCCGAAUCUGACGCUGAGGUGCGAAAGCGUGGGGAGCAAACAGG